rnacentral:tRNA from 1 species
GGAUAAGAAGUAAAAUAUACAAUUAGUUUCGACCUAAAAAAAUGGGAUUAAACCCCUUAUCUA